AUUUUUAUAACAUGGAGCACAAUGUAAUUGUGUAUUGCUUUAGUAAAAACUUUAUCUGUAAUGUUUAUUUAUGGAAAGCGUCGUCAUAACACAGUGAUUGGCCAUUGCUCUCAAGUGAAACAGCUAACUGAUAGUAUUCACUGUGGAUAAACUUGUAAGUAACUUUGAAUAAGCUGAUUGUGUUAAUUCUGUCGUCACAGGUCCUGAUCCUCCAAAUGUCUGGAAACAAGGCAUCCAUGGCUCUGGAGUUCUUCCUUGAUGCUGCAAAGAAACCUGACUACAUCCAGAUCUUGACAUUGUUGGAUGGAAGAGUCCUUCCCUGUGAACAAUGCAAAACUCAGUCCUGUCAACCCUUCAUGAGGACAUUGAGGUGUGGCUCAUGCUUGGAGUACACUGAAGAGUUUUGUCUUUAAUAAAACAAUAAAGCCAUUAGAACUCAAACUUUCUUGUAAUGAAGGGGGAAA